CCUAGAUCGAAGGAGCUCUCCAAUCCCGUGCGCUCGCCUCCACUCCCAUCCUCCCCAAUCCCGUGCGGCACGGAGGGAGAGCGGCGGGCCGGACCUCACAGCUCCUCAUCCGUGCGCUGGAGAGAAGCAGCACGGGUGCCGCCGGCCACCUCCCACUCGUCUCCUCUCUCCCGUUUUUUAGCUCGGCGGCGCGGACGGUGAGUGGCGGGCGAGAGUGGCUUCCCGGAGGAGGCCUGCAGCGCGGGUGGCGAGGGGAUUGAGGCGGCGGUCGGCCGGCUCAGAGGUCAAGCUCGCGCCGUCUCGCCCUCCUAGCCGUGUAUGCGGGUAAAACGGCGAUGCGCGGUGGUCUGGUGGUAGAGAACCAGCGAGGGACGGCGGUGGGACAGUGGUGGAGGAGCAUGUGGCCAUCCUCUUCCCUCUCCCUCUCACUUUCUCUCUCUGUCUACGGAUCGUGAAGAGGCGGCCCUGUCGCUCCGCUGCGCCGGCCGAACCAGAUCCAGCGGGAUUUCAUCUCCUACACCAGAUCCAGCGUGGGAUGCUUCCUCCUGUGAAGCUUUGGUCCUGAACAUGGCUACCCGAGCUUGCAGGGCAUGGAAAACAACGAAGAGAAGGUCCAUGCGUUGGAACCAAAGGAUUCCAAGCUCCAGAGGUUCUUCCGAGAUCUUCUCAACAGGGUUGUAAUGUUGAUGCCUGGUCUGCUGGCGUGAUACUCCUGUAUUUGAUAACUGGCAAAACACCUUUUGGCAGUGACCCCGAACAGUGAGUUAGCUACUGCAUUUACGAAGUUCUGCUUCCCUAAUUAGAAAACACUCUAAACUUGUGGCAUCUGUUGAACAAAUAUGAACAUGAGAUGAUGGAGAUGGUGUUCUGGGCAGAGGCAGCCGACGUUGCUAUGCCAGGAUUCAUGAUGAUAAUGUUGUAGAUGCGAAUGAUGAGUAUGAGGAGAAAGCACGACCAGGACGACUCAAAUGACCACGAGCAUGGCGCCUCCGCCGGAGCACAACACACUUCUUUCUUCUCGCUGCGGUUGGAUGUCUAGCAGAUUCACUAAUAGCGAGCACCACCAUUUGUGUUCAUGACCUGCAUGACUGCUGCAGGGCUACUCGCGAUCGUACAAUGACUUAUGGCAAUUACACAAUGGCUUUCGUAGACUCAUUGCCGAGUUGCAUGGUCGGUCACUCGAUUUUUCUCAGCGACUUAAAAACCUUGAAUACACGGCUUAGCUUUGCUUCAACGACAUGCUCUUUUUCAGCUUGAAGGUCACAGAGUAAAUUGCAAGGUGCAUUCUGCAACAUGAAGGAUAUUUAGGUGGUCUUGGUGCAUUGAUGAGUUAUGGGGGAUCACAUAGAUGAAAAUUUGACCCUUGACAAUUUCACAUGAAGCAUGGGACGUAACGUAUUUGAUGAUGCUUGGAGCUUUGGGAUCAGUUCAGAUGUUACUGGGAUAGAUGAAUAGCCCGAAACUUUGAGAGGAUGCUAUGGAUCUUCUCCCAAUCCUAGCACUGCCGUAUGUCGAGGUAGUUUGGUGAGGCGCGUUUUGGAGAAGGGUGGUGGCGCGCCAGUAGAGUCGCCGGGGCGCUGCGUCGCCUCAGGAAGUUUGUCCACCGCCACCUGCCGGGGCCAUCGACCCCUCCCUGCUCUGGUCAUCUUCACCGGUGGAACGGCGGGAUAUUGCUUGGCUCAAGCGGUGAUGGUCACAAGCCUACCUCCACUCCUCCCCGUUCUCUACUCCAUUUGUCAACUGUACAACAUGCACACUCCCAGGAUAAAGUGACAUUCCUAUGGGAAUAUCAAGUGGGUCAGCAGCUAACUGUUUGGUAGCUCAAGUGAAUGGGAUACUCUUGGAUAUGGUGAGGCCACUGAAAGUCUGUCGGGAGGGUGUACAACUGAGGUUGUGCAGUCUGUUCGUCCUUGAAAGAGAAGGUAUGGGAUUAGUCUAAAUUGGGGUGCCUGAAAAUAAGCAGCCCUAUUUUUGCGGUCAAUGCUCAUAUUCUAAUGCUUCCACUUUUCCUUUUAACAUUUUUUACUAUGACAUCCAGUAUAAUGACUUGACACUGAAUGGCACAUGUUUGUCGGGCAUCUCUUUGCAUGUUUAUCGACACGUAGACAGUUUUAUUGGGCGAGAUUCUGCAGAUGUAGCAAAUUUCUAGCAAACGGUUUCAUGAGUGGUGCAAAUUUAUACGUGAUGCUUGUGUACUGAUGUCAAUUGCUUAGCGUUCGAGCCACUGUGGACAUUAAUAUAUGAUGCAAGCUUGCUUUUGUUUCUCUUUAUAUGAUGCAAGUUUCUAUUUUUUUUUUUGCUUUCUGAUUCGUUUCUCUUUAUAUGAUGCAAGCUUUGUUUCUCCGAGUCACCGUAGCAUGGUAGAUCAAUUCAUUCCGGCCACUGUGGACAUUAAUAUGAUGCUCAUCUUUUUGGUAUAACAAUCAUUGGUGUCAACCUUUUUUAUUGCUAUUAAUAAUUGAUAGUGUAUAAUUACUCCUAUUGCUAAAUACUGGACUGUGAUAUCUUUGUGGCAAGAAGAUAAUGGAAAUAUUUUAAAGCCCUGGUUACUGAUAAGAACACAAAUAUUCCAAUUUCAGUUACUUGCUUUGAUUUUGGCUCAAGAGAGUUGUUUACAAUUACAAUUGGUUAGAGAAGUUUCGGUGCUUAUAGAUGGAUAGAAUAUAUGUUUACUGACAGGCUAUGCUUUCUAUUAUUUGUGAAGUGAUGUAUGAUUGUUAGCUCAAUAUUCAGUGCUCAUAGGAAGUCAUCGUAUCAUCCGUGGAUACAGUUCAUCAUGUAUAAAUCACUACAAUUACACAAUUUCUUUUGUCAUUUCAAUGAUUGCCAUAUUGCUAUUUUCAGUCUGCUGCAAUCCAUAUGCAUAGUUAGUCAAUUCUAUUUUUUACAUCUGUACCUGCACAAUAUGGUAUAAAUCAUCCUCUUGAAAUUCUCUGCAGGGAGAUAUUAAAGCCCUAAAGGUGUAGGAGUGCAGCUUACACGAAUAAAUACGGUAGCUUCGAUCCAACAAGUUUGGAACAAGAUUAUCGAAGACGCCUGCUGCUUGGCAUCGGCGGGGAGAGUUAAGGCUGCUGACCCGAUCAUUAGACCUAGAGAGCCACACUAACAUGUCUUAGCUGAACAACAUCUGCAGUUUUCUCUUUAGAGUUGGUGCCGUUCCUGAUUGCUAUUUGAGCUCCAUGUAAUUCUGUUACUUCUUUUAAUGAUCCCUAUAUCAAUGAAAAACAGUUUUGAA